rnacentral:rRNA from 1 species
UACGUAGGGGGCAAGCGUUGGCCGGAUUUAUUGGGCGUAAAGAGCGUGUAGGCGGCCGUACAGGUCAGCUGUGAAAACUCGAGGCUCAACCUCGAGACGUCGGUUGAAACCGUACGGCUAGAGUCCGGAAGAGGAGAGUGGAAUUCCCGGUGUAGCGGUGAAAUGCGCAGAUAUCGGGAAGAACACCCGUGGCGAAGGCGGCUCUCUGGGACGGUACUGACGCUGAGACGCGAAAGCGUGGGGAGCGAACAGG